CUCAAAACUUUCCUUUUCAACUUUUUUGGAAAGGAAAGAAAAAAGUGCAGUGGUCUCUUUAUUUUUUCCAGAGCUCCAUGUUCUGAAUCUUUCAGUGAGGUCUUUCUGUAACAUAUUAAAGGGACAUUGUCGGUUAAAGGUUAAAUGUACCUUUGUCUUUGACUAAACAAAAAAAUUACCUUACACACACAAGAGUGAAAAUAAGGCCACGUAGAUAUAUAUACAUUUUCCUUUUGAUAUUUUAACACCAGUUCAGUUUCCAAGCUUCAUACAGUGCUUUGAGAUGUAAAUACAACCCCUGAAAAGUGUUUUUUUAUACAUAUUUACAAAAUGAUUAGCAACACAAUUUCUGUGUGGAGAAAAUAUAGGUAAACCCCAGAGUGCCGCUGACCAGAUGUUUUUCGUACAAAUCUCUGUAACUCUUUCUUAGAUAUUGGGACCAGUGUGACUGGCACUGACAGUGAAAUGAAUUAAUUCAAAUGAAAGCACAUUUUAUUAAUUGAGAAUAAUGAGUAAGACGGUGUAGUUGCUUAGGUCACUGCAUUUGCUUAUUCUAAUAUUCAGAAGCACAUUAAGUGAAUCCCUGGAUGCCUGUCUGCCUGCCUUAUAUAGCAAGGCAUGGCCCAAUGACUCUGUAGGAUGGAUCAGUUUUUGUGUAGGUGAGGGGGUACUUCAUCAUUUGCCCAGAAGCCCUCUUACCUUCUUAUAGUGCCUUCUGUCCAUAGAAUGUAUACAGGACCUACAUAAUAAGGUGUCUUCUGUCCUCUGGCACAUUGUUGUUGUAUAGAAUGUAUACAGGACCUACAUAAUAAGGUGUCUUCUGUCCUCUGGCACAUUGUUGUUGUAUAGAAUGUAUACAGGACCUACAUAAUAAGGUGUCUUCUGUCCUCUGGCACAUUGUUGUUGUAUAGAAUGUAUACAGGACCUACAUAAUAAGGUGUCUUCUGCCUAGACUCACUCUGUUUAAUGGUUAAAUUAAAAAAAUAUAAUAAAAUAGUUUACUUGCCGUUGAGUCUGGACAAGUGUUGUUUUAUUCGAUUUUCUUUUUUUAAACUAAUAGAGAACCAAUUCUCUUUUUUUUUUAAUGACGUCCUGGCCAAAGGCAUAUCAUUGCAAGAUGACAAGAAAUAGACACAGAACCGCGUCAGUCAUUAAAAAUAUACAUACAAAUAAGCUAUAUACAAUCGAACAGACAAUAGCCAUACAAUUCCAGUAAAUGCAGUGAUGCCUGAAGAGAUUUAAUGGAUUUGCUUUGAUCCGAUGGAUCAGUUCUAUGCUGGGAGGGUGGAGGGACCAGCCGGACUCUGUGGCCCUGGUUGAUACUUGUAGUGCAUUGGGUGUUGGGCCCUCGGGGUCUGACGUGUCAUGUACUGUGCAUAAGUGGUACUUUGUCCAGGAAAUAAGUGAAGACUUCCUGUACAUGUGACUUACGUAUGUCCGUACGUGUAGCGAAGAUCUUUUUAUUUUAUCUGUUUUGGUUACGUCGAUAUCUUUGCUGGCACACUUUUUAUUUUAUUUUUUUACUUAUGUUGCAUUUGUCCAAACUAAAUACGGUGCAUGUAUAGUCUACGCUAUUUUAUAUGUAAUUAAUUGUGUAUGUAAGAUUGAAAGAUUUUGUCCAAAUUAAAUUAUAAUGGCAUGUUUUAACAUGGAAAUAAGGUGUUGGGCUUAAUAAAUGUUUUCUACUGUUCA